ensembl:lncRNA
CGGGGAGCAACGUGGAGAUGGACCAAUCGGGUGAGGACGGCGACCGGAAGGGGAGGGUCUGGAGGGGGACUGAUGGGAAACGAGGGGUCGCGCCGCCCGAUGUGACGCCCCCUGCAGGGCCGGAGGUGCAUCGCUCACAGCGCGCAGUUCCCACCUCCUAAUUAACCUCAUUAACGCGGCGGAACUCCAUUCCCAGCACGGCAACUCCUCACAAUCAGCAGCUCCUCACAAUUAGCGCCGUUCCUCCUCAUUACCUCCGAAUGAACGCCGCCCGGCCGUCAGCCACCGCAGCUGAACACUGCUUGGGCUGAACACUGCUAAUUAGCGUGAGGUAAUUAAGGCAGCCCAUUACAGGGUGACCCACAGCUGGAGCUGAUGGGUUUGAGGGCAGGGCUGGAGCACCAGGAGCACCCAGGGGUGCUGUGAGCCAAUGAAUGGAUGGUCAGCCCGUGGGGUAAUUAAUGGGCCAAUCAACGGGAAAUUGGUAAUUAGGGAUCAAUCCGUGGGUAAUUAAUUGGUAAUCAAGGAUUAAUCCAUGGGAAAUUGGUAAUUAAGGCCAGACUCAGAAGGGAGCCCUGGGAAGAGGACCCGCAAGGGAACAGGAUCUACAAAUUGGACCUUCAAGGACCCUCCCAACCCAACCAUCCCAUGGCUCUAUGAUCUUCCAGGACCCUUCCAACCCAUCCCAUGGCUCUAUGACCUUUCAGGACCCUUCCAACCCAACCAUCCCAUGGCUCCAUGAUCUUCCAGGACCCUUUCAACCCAUCCUAUGGCUCUAUGAUCUUCCAGGACCCUUUCAACCCAUCCUAUGGCUCUAUGAUCUUCCAGGUUCCUUCCAACCCAACCAUCCCAUGUCUCUAUGACCUUCAAGGACCCCUCCAACCCAACCAUCCCAUGGCUCUAUGAUCUUUAAGGACCCGUCCAAUCCAACCAUCUCAUGGCUCCAUGACCUUUUAGGACCCUUCCAAUCCCCCCCUCCCAGGGAUCUAUGAUCUUCAAGGACCCUUUCAACCCAUCCCAUGGCUCUACGCCCUUUAAGGACCUUUCCAACCCAACCAUCCCAUGGCUCCAUGACCUUUUAGGACCCUUCCAACCCAAUCAUCCCAUGGCUCCAUGCCCUUUAAGGACCCUUCCAACCCAACCAUCCCAUGGCUCUAUGAUCUUCAAAGACCCUUCCAACCCAUCCCAUGUCUCUAUGACCUUCAAGGACCCCUCCUACCCAACCAUCCCAUGGCUCCAUGAUCUUCCAGGACCCUUUCAACCCAUCCUAUCACUCUAUGAUCUUCUAGGUCCCUUCCAACCCAACCAUCCCAUAUCUCUAUGACCUUCAAGGACCCCCCCCCAGCCCAACCACCCCAUGCCUCUAUGCCCUUUAAGGACCCUUCCAAUCCAACCAUCUCAUGGCUCCAUGACCUUUUAGGACCCUUCCAAUCCCCCCUUCCCAGGCAGGGAUCUAUGAUCUUCCAGGACCCUUUCAACCCAUCCCAUGUCUCUAUGCCCUUCAAGGACCCUGCCAACCCAACCAUCCCAUGUCUCUAUGACCUUCAAGGACCCUCCCA